rnacentral:rRNA from 1 species
CCCCUAGACGUUCUGGGCUGCACGCGCGCUACAAUAAUACGCACAGCGAGUAUCACCGAGCUCGAAAGGGCAAGGUAAACAAUAGAAAAGGUACUGUAAUGGUUAUAGAUCCUUGUAAUUAUUGAUCUUCAAUGAGGAAUUCCUAGUAAGUAUGUGUCAUCAUCACGCACUGAUUACGUCCCUGCCCUUUGUACACACCGCCCGUCGCUCCUACCGAUUGAGUGAGCCGAUGAAACUGCCGGAUGUGGACUAUUCAUAGUCUGCAGAAGAUAUUUGAAUCGUAGCGCUUAGAGGAAGGAGAAGUCGUAACA